UCCUUGUAAUUUGGACUUGGAAAUAACGUUGGUAGUAUAUUAAUUUUCUGUUGUUAGAAUGUUAUUGUUUUAUAUUGUACGCAACGCUCAUCGCGACAGCCAUGAUGCGUACAUUUACGUAUGUACAAUGCGUGAGUGCGUAUACACGCGUGUGGAUCGAGCAGUGCGGAGUGCUCUUUAUUUAGAGUAUAUUUAUAUAUAACUGUUUGAACGCGUCGAGAUCAUGAGCAGACGCACGCUUGUCGCGACAGCCCAUCGGAAGCAGUAAUAGUUCUGGAGACUGUAGUCGCAUUAUCUUACAUACGUAUGAUGCGUGAGUGUGUCAUAUAUACGUACGUUUGUGCUUGUGCUGUCGAGCGCUUUUAAUUGUAUACAACAUUUUUAUAUGAGUAGCUGGUGAUUCAAGAUCUAUUUUUUGACCUAUAUAAGAGAGAGAUUUGCAGAAGAAAAGAAAUAUACCAAAGUAUUAAGGA